rnacentral:rRNA from 1 species
UACGUAGGGAGCAAGCGUUAUCCGGAUUUAUUGGGUGUAAAGGGUGCGUAGACGGGAAUUUAAGUUAGUUGUGAAAUCCCUCGGCUUAACUGAGGAACUGCAACUAAAACUGAAUUUCUUGAGUGCGGGAGAGGAAAGUGGAAUUCCUAGUGUAGCGGUGAAAUGCGUAGAUAUCACACAGAACACCGAUUGCGAAGGCAUCUCACGAAUCCGCGAUUGACGCUGAUGCACGAAAGCGUGGGUAUCAAACAGG